UUUUACUUAAACUCUUUUAAGAGUGGUUUCAGACAGAUAUGCUUAUGAAUUGUACUCUGUACAUAUUGCAUGUAUUCAUCAGGUAUGAAAGGCUGAUCACCUUCAUUACCAGUCAGUUCAGAUAUAAUUAUUAUGUUCAUUUUCAAUGUUCAUUCAGCUUUGAAAUUUUGUUCAUGCUAAUUCACAACUACAUUGUGAAGGUAGCCAGCUUAUUCUUCAAACUCUUUCAAUCAUGAUAUAUCUUUACCUUGUUUUUUUUUAAACUUGCUGGGCAACUUUCAUGCUCACACUUGCUAUAUCAUGAUAAAACAUUGCAGAUAAGGCGAAUACGGCCAGUUACAGGAAAAGGAUGAUGCCAAGUUCAGCUUGGGAUAGAAUGUGAAGUUAAGUUGUAAAGUAUGUUGAAGAAUAGUAUUGUCAUGUGUUAGACAGUCA
rnacentral:lncRNA from 1 species